CAGCAGCCGCGGUAAUACAGAGGGUGCGAGCGUUAAUCGGAUUUACUGGGCGUAAAGCGUGCGUAGGCGGCUUCUUAAGUCGGAUGUGAAAUCCCUGAGCUUAACUUAGGAAUUGCAUUCGAUACUGGUUAGCUAGAGUGUGGGAGAGGAUGGUAGAAUUCCAGGUGUAGCGGUGAAAUGCGUAGAGAUCUGGAGGAAUACCGAUGGCGAAGGCAGCCAUCUGGCCUAACACUGACGCUGAGGUACGAAAGCAUGGGGAGCAAACAGGAUUAGAUACCCCGGUAGUCCCUGUCUCUUAUAC
rnacentral:rRNA from 1 species